UACGAAGGGGGCUAGCGUUGUUCGGAAUUACUGGGCGUAAAGCGUAUGUAGGCGGCGCGGUAAGUCGGGUGUGAAAUCUCGGAGCUUAACUCCGAAACUGCAUUCGAUACUGCCGUGCUUGAGGACUGGAGAGGAGAGUGGAAUUCCUGGUGUAGCGGUGAAAUGCGCAGAUAUCAGGAAGAACACCCGUGGCGAAGGCGGCUCUCUGGAACGCAACUGACGCUGAGACGCGAAAGCGUGGGGAGCAAACAGG
rnacentral:rRNA from 1 species